rnacentral:rRNA from 1 species
CCUACGGGAGGCAGCAGUGGGGAAUAUUGCACAAUGGGGGAAACCCUGAUGCAGCGACGCCGCGUGCGUGAAGAAGUAUCUCGGUACGUAAAGCUCUAUCAGCAGGGAAGAAAAUGACGGUACCUGACUAAGAAGCUCCGGCUAACUACGUGCCAGCCGCCGCGGUAAUACGUAGGGGGCAAGCGUUAUCCGGAUUUACUGGGUGUAAAGGGAGCGUAGACGGCAGCACAAGUCUGGAGUGAAAUCCCGGGGCUUAACCCCGGAACUGCGUUGGAAACUGUGCGGCUGGAGUGCAGGAGGGGUAAGCGGAAUUCCUGGUGUAGCGGUGAAAUGCGUAGAUAUUAGGAAGAACACCGGAGGCGAAGGCGGCUUACGGGACUGUAACUGACGUUGAGGCUCGAAAGCGUGGGGAGCAAACAGGAUUAGAUACCCUUGUAGUC